UACGGGGGGGGCAGGCGUUGUUCGGAAUUACUGGGCGUAAAGGGCGCGUAGGCGGCCUUCUAAGUCAGACGUGAAAUCCCUCAGCUCAACCGAGGAACUGCGUCUGAUACUGGAAGGCUUGAAUCCGGGAGAGGGAUGUGGAAUUCCAGGUGUAGCGGUGAAAUGCGUAGAUAUCUGGAGGAACACCGGUGGCGAAGGCGGCAUCCUGGACCGGUAUUGACGCUGAGGCGCGAAAGCUAGGGGAGCAAACGGG
rnacentral:rRNA from 1 species